GACGAACGCUGGCGGUGUGCUUAACACAUGCAAGUGGUGCGACGAACCAGAGCUUGCUCUGGGGCAAAGCCGCGAACGGGUGAGUAACACGUGGGUAAUCUACCCCGAUGACCGGGACAACCCGAGGAAACUCGGGCUAAUACCGGAUGUGGUGCGGAGACAUAAGUCUCUUCACUAAAGGUAGCUUCGGCUUCCGCAUUGGGAGGGGCCCGCGGCCCAUUAGCUUGUUGGUGGGGUCAAGGCCUACCAAGGCAACGAUGGGUAGCUGGUCUGAGAGGACGAUCAGCCACACUGGAACUGAGACACGGCCCAGACUCCUACGGGAGGCAGCAGUGGGGAAUCUUGCGCAAUGCGCGAAAGCGUGACGCAGCAACACCGCGUGAGGGAAGAAGGCCUUAGGGUUGUAAACCUCUUUCAGAUGGGACGAAGGUUCUCCGGUGAAUAGCCGAGAGGAUUGACGGUACCGUCAGAAGAAGCACCGGCUAACUACGUG
rnacentral:rRNA from 1 species